rnacentral:rRNA from 1 species
UACAGAGGUCCCGAGCGUUUGUUCGGAUUCAUUGGGCGUAAAGGGUGCGUAGGCGGUCUUCUAAGUUUGAUGUGAAAUCCCGGGGCUCAACCCUGGAAUUGCAUUGAAUACUGGAGGACUAGAGUACCGGAGAGGAAACUGGAAUUUACGGUGUAGCAGUGAAAUGCGUAGAGAUCGUAAGGAAGACCAGUGGCGAAGGCGAGUUUCUGGACGGUAACUGACGCUGAGGCACGAAGGCCAGGGGAGCAAACGGG